GGGGCUGACUUGGUUUCGACAUUUAAGGAUUGUUAAAGUAUGAUGCAGGUCGAAGUUUGUACUCUUCGUAAAAAAAUUACAAUCAUAAAUAAAUGCUAACAAUAUUAUCUCUUUCAUGUUUAAAGCAGUAACUAAUAUUAUGAAAACAAAACAAACUGCGCCAAGCUUCUUUAGUUACGCAGUUUAGAUUAAUUCUUAUACUAGUUUCAAAUAAUCCUCUUUGUUCACUAGAACUAGACUUUUCUCUUGUUCAUAGUUUAGACUAAUUUUAAUUAUUAUAAUUUGUUCAAGUUUUUGAACUAAACCUGUGAAUGAGUACAUUAAUAAAAUUUAGAUGGACGUGGGUUCAAUUCCCAUCAGCUCCAU
rnacentral:tmRNA from 16 species